UGGCUCAUUAACUACAAAGCAAACCGCAAGUUAAGUACUCUCUCUUUUUCGCAUGAAAGGAGGCAGCAGGACUUAGUCAUCGAAUGUCUGGAACUAAAAUCGGACACUCGACUUCCCGAACGCCUGCUUCCUUUCGCUGACCAGCGCUAUUCGGUAGGUUUGUACCCACGAACUAGGGGAACAAACUCUCCCUAUGAGCCAGGGGAACCGUUUGUGGAUUUGUUAGAAUCAACACGUUCGAAUCAACAACUGCAAGCUAUAAUCACUCCACCUCUAGCAGUUCGGGAGGAAACAGGUGAACGGGUAUUUGCAAUAUCAGCGUUCGUUACACAAACCAUUGUAACGGCUGAUAUCCAUCCCAUUAUACUCAGUGCUGUUUGUAACGGCUGAUAUCCCCCCAUUAUGCUCGGUGCUGUUUAUAAUGGCUGAUAUCCCCCCAUUAUACUCUGUGCUGUUUGUAUCAGCUGAUAUCCCCCAUUAUACCCGGUGCUGUUUGUAUCAGCUGAUAUCCCCCACUAUACUCAGUGCUGUUUGCAACAGCUGAUACCCCUUCUCCCCCCCCUUAUACUCCAUUAUAUUACUAUUUAAGGGACAUCAUACAAAUAUUGUAAUUUAUUUACUUUUUAAGUGGUUAUGGUGCGAGGAAAUUCUGACCACUAACCAGCGCCAAGCAGAACAACUAGAGCUGCGGAUGGAAACCAGCCCUCAGAGGAAUGGGUAAGCGAACUGGAGACACUAGUUGAGACUGAGGUGUGGCUGGAUGAUUCCUAUCGGGCCCUGCGGUGGCAUGCUUACCACCUCUACCCAUGGCUGAGUACAAGUGUAUUGAGGGGGAAGACUACGAUGGCCCUGGUUUGUUGUGGGAUACUAUUGAAACUAGUCUCUGGUUCGGAGACACCGACAUUGCUCACUUCUGGUCCAUCCGAGCUGAGCGGGCAGACAACUGGGACUUUACGGAGAUCGAUGCCAUUCAGACAGAUCUAUCUUUUCUUGCCAACCAGGAGUGGGAACUAGAACAGGAUUAUGUUUGCCUAUUCCAACGUAAAACGCCACCUGUCUCUGACAUGAUGGGACUUAUUGAC